rnacentral:rRNA from 1 species
CCUACGGGAGGCAGCAGUGGGGGAUAUUGCACAAUGGGGGAAACCCUGAUGCAGCGACGCCGCGUGGGCGAAGAAGUAUUUCGGUAUGUAAAGCCCUAUCAGCAGGGAAGAAGAAAUGACGGUACCUGAGUAAGAAGCCCCGGCUCAAUACGUGCCAGCAGCCGCGGUCACACGUAGGGUGCAAGCGUUAUCCGUAUUGACUGGGUGUAAAGGGCGCGCACGCGGCACGGCAAGCCUGAUGUGAAAGCCCGCGGCCCAACCGCGGGACUGCCUUGGGAACUACCGGGCUGGAGUGCCGGAGAGGUAGGCGGAAGUCCUAGUGUAGCGGUGAAAUGCGUAGAUAGUAGGAGGAACACCAGUGGCGAAGGCGGCCUACUGGACGGUGACUGACGCUGAGGCUCGAAGGCGUGGGGAGCAAACAGGAUUAGAUACCCCGGUAGUC